rnacentral:rRNA from 1 species
GACGAACGCUGGCGGCGUGCCUAAUACAUGCAAGUAGGACGCAGUUGCGAACGGGUGAGUAACACGUAGGUAACUACCUACUAGAGGGGGAUAACUAUUUGAAACGAUAGCUAAUACCGCAUACUAGUAGAUGGACAUACGUUGUAUUAGAUAGUAGGUAGGGUAAAGGCCUACCUAGGCAACGAGACAUAGCCGACCUGGUAGGGUGAUCGGGCACACUGGGACUUGGACACGGCCCAGAAUCCCACGGGAGGCAGCAGUAGGGAAUCUUCGGCAAUGGGGGGAACCCUGACCGAGCAACGCCGCGUGAGUGAAGAAGGUUUUCGGAUCGUAAAGCUCUGUUGUUAAGGAAGCGGUACUUAACCAGAAAGGGACGGCUAACUACGUGCCAGCAGCCGCGGUAAUUC